rnacentral:rRNA from 1 species
UACGUAGGGUGCAAGCGUUAAUCGGAAUUACUGGGCGUAAAGCGUGCGCAGGCGGUUAUGUAAGACAGGUGUGAAAUCCCCGGGCUUAACCUGGGAACUGCAGCGGAUACUGGCAAGCUGGAGUACGGUAGAGGAGGGUGGAAUUCCUGGUGUAGCAGUGAAAUGCGUAGAGAUCGGGAGGAACACCAGUGGCGAAGGCGGCCUUCUGGACCAGUACUGACGCUGAGACGCGAAAGCGUGGGGAGCAAACAGG